rnacentral:rRNA from 1 species
UCCAUAGGUUAAUGAGGCGAACCGGGGGAACUGAAACAUCUAAGUACCCCGAGGAAAAGAAAUCAACCGAGAUUCCCCCAGUAGCGGCGAGCGAACGGGGAGGAGCCCAGAGCCUGAAUCAGUGUGUGUGUUAGUGGAAGCGUCUGGAAAGGCGCGCGAUACAGGGUGACAGCCCCGUACACAAAAAUGCACAUACUGUGAGCUCGAUGAGUAGGGCGGGACACGUGGUAUCCUGUCUGAAUAUGGGGGGACCAUCCUCCAAGGCUAAAUACUCCUGACUGACCGAUAGUGAACCAGUACCGUGAGGGAAAGGCGAAAAGAACCCCGGCGAGGGGAGUGAAAAAGAACCUGAAACCGU